UAGAGUUUGAUCCUGGCUCAGGGCGAACGCUAGCGGUACGCCUAACACAUGCAAGUCGAGCGGGAGUUUUUUAGAAGCUUGCUUCUGAAAAACAAGAGCGGCAAACGGGUGAGUAACACGUUGGUACUUGCCCCUUGGUCAGGGAUAGCCCAUCGAAAGAUGGAUUAAUACCGGAUAGUCUCUUCGGAGUAAAGAUUUAUCGCCAAGGGAGAGGCCUGCGUUCUAUCAGCUAGUUGGUAAGGUAAUGGCUUACCAAGGCUAUGACGGAUAACUGGUCCGAGAGGAUGAUCAGUCACAAUGGAACUGAGACACGGUCCAUACUCCUACGGGAGGCAGCAGUGAGGAAUAUUCCACAAUGGGCGAAAGCCUGAUGGAGCGAUACCGCGUGAAGGAUGAAGGUCUAACGAUUGUAAACUUCUUUUCUGAGGGAGCAUAAUGAUAGUACCUCAGGAAUAAGGGACGGCUAAUUACGUGCCAGCAGCCGCGGUAAUACGUAAGUCCCAAGCGUUG
rnacentral:rRNA from 1 species